rnacentral:rRNA from 1 species
GUCCACGCCGUAAACGAUGAGCGCUAGGCGUUGGGGGUAUUGACCCCUCCAGUGCCGAAGCUAACGCGAUAAGCGCUCCGCCUGGGGAGUACGGCCGCAAGGCUAAAACUCAAAGGAAUUGACGGGGGCCCCGCACAAGCGGUGGAGUAUGUGGUUUAAUUCGACGCAACGCGCAGAACCUUACCUGGGUUAAAUCCACCGGGACCUUCUGGAGACAGAGGGGUGCCCUUCUGGGAGCCGGUGAGAAGGUGCUGCAUGGCUGUCGU